UGGGGUUUGAGCUCAGUGGCAGAGCACUCACCUAGCAUGUGUGAGGCACUGGGUUCAAUUCUCAGCACCACAU
rnacentral:tRNA from 1 species